rnacentral:rRNA from 1 species
CACGUAGGGACCAAGCGUUGUCCGGAUUCAUUGGGCGUAAAGAGCUCGUAGGCGGUUCGAUAAGUCGGGUGUGAAACCUCCAGGCUCAACCUGGAGACGCCACCCGAUACUGUCGUGACUAGAGUCCAGUAGGGGAGCGGUGGAAUUCCUGGUGUAGCGGUGAAAUGCGUAGGUAUCUGGAGGAACACCGGGUGGCGAAGGCGGCAUCCUGGACCAACACUGACGCUGAGUGAGCGAAAGCCAGGGGAGCAAACGGGG